UUUGGGAUUGUUUGAGUCUUAUUGGUAAUGGGUGAAUAAGCCUUGUGUAUGGGCUAGAUUAGUUGAGUUGUUUUAAGUAUUUUAGAUUGUUUUAUUUUAGUUUGAGUUAAUUAAGCCCAUAUAGUCAAGUGUAACUCAUUUUGGGCUUAAGUCUUGUCUUAGUGUUAUUACAAGAAUGAGCUCAUAACUAUAUGGUGCCACAAACAAUUGGUGGUGUUGGUUAAGAAGAUUGGAGUUACAAUGAGUUACAUAACAAUUACAUGCCUAUAAUUAGCCUAGUUAUUGUUGGAGUUACAAUUGUAAUUAUCACAUAAUUAGCCUAGUUAUUGUGGGAGUUACAAUUGUAGUUAU
rnacentral:lncRNA from 1 species